AGCUAGGAAUAUAGAUGUAGCCAGCACAGCCUACCUACUUUAUUUCUUUUUGUCACUCUGGAUUUGGCACAGAGGUAGCAUGCAGCGAGUAUUCAAAACAAUUUUUUUGGAGGAAUUAAACUGAAGACAAUGGGGCAGGUCAAGGCGGAAGUCCCCUCCUAAGGCACUAAUGUCCCAAACAGGCUUCCGAGUGGUUUCCCUGAGUGAGGAGGCCAUCUGGUGGUGUGUCAGGCAGAUCCCCAUCCACAUGCCCAUUCCUCCCAGCUCUGUUCCUUCUCUCCAGACAAGACACCAUAGAGAGACUUGGACACAAAGCACCAGGCCAAUCACAUAAACCUCUCCUUCUGUCAGAAGGA